UAGGCCGAAGUUUAUAUGUUUAAGCAUCUAGUUGUUGAUUAGAAGUUGAGGGAUAAAUGCCCCCCGGUUUAA
rnacentral:tRNA from 1 species